rnacentral:snRNA from 1 species
AAACCGAUACUCGAAUUUUCGGG